GACGAACGCUGGCGGCGUGCUUAACACAUGCAAGUCGAACGGAAAGGCCCUGCUUUUGUGGGGUGCUCGAGUGGCGAACGGGUGAGUAACACGUGAGUAACCUGCCCUUGACUUUGGGAUAACUUCAGGAAACUGGGGCUAAUACCGGAUAGGAGCUCCUGCUGCAUGGUGGGGGUUGGAAAGUUUCGGCGGUUGGGGAUGGACUCGCGGCUUAUCAGCUUGUUGGUGGGGUAGUGGCUUACCAAGGCUUUGACGGGUAGCCGGCCUGAGAGGGUGACCGGCCACGUUGGGACUGAGAUACGGCCCAGACUCCUACGGGAGGCAGCAGUGGGAAAUAUUACACAAUGGGCGGAAGCCUGAUGCAGCAACGCCGCGUGCGGGAUGACGGCCUUCGGGUUGUAAACCGCUUUCGCCUGUGACGAAGCGUGAAUGACGGUAAUGGGUAAAGAAGCACCGGCUAACUACGUG
rnacentral:rRNA from 1 species